UUUAUUUGAGAGUUUGAUCCUGGCUCAGGAUGAACGCUGGCGGCGUGCCUAACACAUGCAAGUUGAGCGAUUUACUUCGGUAAAGAGCGGCGGACGGGUGAGUAACGCGUGGGUAACCUACCCUGUACACACGGAUAACAUACCGAAAGGUAUGCUAAUACGGGAUAACAUAUUUGAGAGGCAUCUCUUAAAUAUCAAAGGUGAGCCAGUACAGGAUGGACCCGCGUCUGAUUAGCUAGUUGGUAAGGUAACGGCUUACCAAGGCGACGAUCAGUAGCCGACCUGAGAGGGUGAUCGGCCACAUUGGAACUGAGACACGGUCCAAACUCCU
rnacentral:rRNA from 1 species